GAUGAACGCUGGCGGCGUGCCUAAUACAUGCAAGUCGAGCGAACGGACGAGAAGCUUGCUUCUCUGAUGUUUGCGGCGGACGGGUGAGUAACACGUGGAUCACCUACCUAUAAGACUGGGAUCACUUCGGGACACCGGCGCUAAUACCGGAUAAUAUUUUGAACCGCAUGGUUCAAAAGUGAAAGACGGUCUUGCUGUCACUUAUAGAUGCAUCCGCGCUGCAUUAGCUAGUUGGUAAGGUAACGGCUUACCAAGGCAACGAUGCAUAGCCGACCUGAGAGGGUGAUCGGCCACACUGGAACUGAGACACGGUCCAGACUCCUACAGGAGGCAGCAGUAGGGAAUCUUCCGCAAUGGGCGAAAGCCUGACGGUGCAACGCCGCGUGAGUGAUUAAGGUCUUCGGAUCGUAAAACUCUGUUAUUAGGGAAGAACAUAUGUGUAAGUAACUGUGCACAUCUUGACGGUACCUAAUCAGAAAGCCACGGCUAACUACGUG
rnacentral:rRNA from 1 species